GACGAACGCUGGCGGCGUGCUUAACACAUGCAAGUCGAACGGAAAGGCCUGCUUUCCCUUGUUGCUUGCGGGUACUCGAGUGGCGAACGGGUGAGUAACACGUGAGUGAUCUGCCCCCAACUUGGGUAUAAGCCUGGGAAACUGGGUCUAAUUCCCGAUAGGACUGCAGGGUGGUGCCUGUGGUGGACAACGAUUUUCUAGUGGUUGGGGAUGGGCUCGCGGCCUAUCAGCUUGUUGGUGGGGUAAUGGCCUACCAAGGCGGCGACGGGUAGCCGGCCUGGGAGGGUGGACGGCCACAUUGGGACUGAGAUACGGCCCAGACUCCUACGGGAGGCAGCAGUGGGGAAUAUUGCACAAUGGGCGGAAGCCUGAUGCAGCGACGCCGCGUGGGGGAUGACGGCCUUCGGGUUGUAAACUCCUUUCGACCGCGAGGAAGCCACCUGGUUGGAAGGGUGGUGACGGUAGUGGUAGAAGAAGCACCGGCUAACUACGUG
rnacentral:rRNA from 1 species